ACUUCUUCUAAUGGAAUCCAGCUUGAAAACUGCUCAAGAGCGGCUGAGCAAAUAGCAACAGUUCGCCAAGUGCAGAACGGUAGAAAACCCCAGGACCGAGCUGAAGACAGUGACAGAGGGAAUUAUGGCUUCUGAAGAAGAAUCAAGUGACUGAAAGUUCUCACAAGCGUCAACAUUAUAUAGUCUGUUUCCAUGUUCCAAUUUGUCUACUUGUUCAUCAUGCAGAUGGCAUUGAGACUUCACAAUAUGGUUUUCCAUACAUUUGCUUACCCCAAAUAUUUCAGAUGGAAUACAGUCACAGCCCCCUGGUCCACUGUUCUCUUCAGACAAAAGGAGACCUCCAAGGGAUAGCAGCCAAACACAACAGUAAAGCAAGACAAAAGCUCUCCUACAGAAGCUGGACGAGACAACCCAUAGGAGGAAAAAAAAUGUCUCAAGAGUAGGCAAAAUGUGGAGCAGAUCCAGCUUCAGACUUGGAAGAAACACAAAGGGCAGGGCUGGAAAUAAAAAAUAUGGCCCAGGAUUUGUGAUGCUCAAGUGAUUCCGACUCAUUUCUGCAAUCUCUCCGUGGCUCUGAAGCAGGCUAGACUUAUCGCUGAUAUAGUGCAUCUCACGGCGCUCUAAUUCAUUUUACAGAGAUCCAGAGAGUGUCCCAGAAUUCUUUGUGGAAAAAAAUCAAAGGUGUUAAAAAUGUCCCCAGUACUUCAUGCUCACCUGUGAUGCAAAACAAGCCUUCUGACUACCAGUGUCUCAUACUCAGGCAGCUUUGAUUCCAGAAUUCAGAAGCUGAGAGAGGAGGGCAGAAGUGAAUGUGAGUCCAGUUGCAACUACACAGUAAAUUCCAGGGUGGAAAUAUCUCAGGACUCAAGGCCCCAUUGCUAUCUUACAGAAAUCAAAGACAAGAUCCAGUCAUCAGAUAUAAGUUAUACUGAGAAGCAAUCUUAGACAAUUAAGAUGUCAAGUCGCAGAGCAUUUUGCUCCCUAAAGAAGCAACAGAAUGAUCGAACCCAGAGCUGAUCCUCUGCCUCAUGACUCGAUACCCAAAAAGUGUCAGAGAGAGCUAGCCUCCCAGGAGUGCAGACAGGCCUGUGAGUUCAGGCAGGACCACCACUUCUAGUGCAGGGCACAGAAACGGAGGAGCAGCCUGGGACAGGAGCCUCCCGUUUCCAUCUGUCCUGGAGCUUAUCCUGUGCCAGAGCAUUUCAUAUACAAAUACAACCAGGAGAAAGCUGGUCUCUCAGGAGAGCCGGCACAUCUGUAAGCACAGGUAAGACCACCAAUUCUGUUCAAAUUCCAAGCUCAAGAGGGACCCUCCUAGAGCCAUCAGGACAUAGGAGCCAAGGAACGACUGGGAGAAAGAUCUUUCUGGUUUCUCUCUGCACUCCAGAGCUGACCCUGUACCACAGCUCUUCAUACCCAAAAUCCUCCCAGAGAGUACUGGUCUCCCAGGAGUACUGACACAGAGGCUUACAGGGGGAACAAGCCACAGGGAGGGACAGUAAAUCUAGCUAACAGCAAAAAUAACCAGAUGGCAUAAGGCAAGAGGAAGAACAUAAACAACAAAAAACAAGGCAACUUGGUAUCAUCAGAACCCAGUUCUCCCAUCACAGUGAGCCCUGGAUACCCCAACAAAU